AAAGUUACGAAUUUAUGAAGAUUUUCAUUCCAGCAGCCUUCCAUUCCAGUUGCUGCAUGGGCAACCGCAUGCGUACUUCAGCUACUUUGCUUUGCUGCUAGACAGCUGGCAACAUUUUGCGAAUACAUGUAUACUAGUAUAAAGGCAAACAAAAUCAGCAAGAAAAAAGAAUGGAAAAAAAAAAGAAAAAAGAAAAAAUUCAAGAAAAAAGAAUGGACUGCUCUGUAAAUAGUAAGUAUGCUCUCUCGCUAGACGUGGACUAAUUAGAGUUUAAACUGCUCAGUUCGGAGUGACUUGUUCCUUUUUAAAAUGGCUGAAAUUGAAGAUAGUCGAUUGACGAAAAUGCGUUUACGGGCGUUCAUGGACGAGUGCAGCGCACUGGAAAUAGGCCACGAUAAAACGCUGGAUAUUCUGAUUAAAAGCAAAAGCGACGCCACCUUCGACUUCAACGCAGCGCUACAAGCCCUGAAGCUGGAGAUCCCCAUUUGGUCGGAAGAAGAAAAGGAAUUAUUUCACCGAUAUGUCUGUCGUUAUGGAGACAAAUUCUUUAUUCUUCUGCCCAGUUCUUUAACGAAUGCGAUCGCUGACGGACCCCACGUGCCCAUCGUUUCGAAAGCGAUCGCAAUGAAAAGGUAGCGGCCGACCAAAUAGGAGUACAAUCUGGAUUUCUUUUCCUCUGCUUGCACAGCGGCCGCUCCCGCGGUAGCGGAAGAGGCUUUAACAUGCGACGGUGCAACCGUAUCUACACAAGUUACGUCCCACGCGAGACACAGUCCGCGUUUCCAAGCAAAGGUCGUGCAGCCGUCCGGGCGACGUUCAGUAGUAUGUGAAGUACCGCGUGGUUCCAGUUUCGCCGGUACACCCGCGGACACCAGACUCCUACAUAUGAUACUGUUCAGCCCUCCAUGUCGCGGAUGCCUUCCGGCGGAAAAGGCGCAAGACAGUCCGUGGUGCCCAUAGCCAUCCACGGGUUUGUGGCAUUUGACGCAGUCAUGAGGCACACAGAUCGUGGCACCAAGACGGAGGCCGAUGCUAAUCUUCAGCUCGUCGUCCCCGAGCAGGUUGCCGAUGUGUGCAGAAGGCAGGGCAUUCAACCAGAUGCCGGCUUCUGGCUUAGUUAAUUUUUCUGGCUUAGUUUUUUUUUCUUGGUUAAUUUCUGAUUAUUCAAUUAGUGACAUCACUGACUCGGUAUCGUAUUAAGGCAGUUUGAACUUGAAGCGUAGUGCAUAUGAAGGAGACUUUUCUACGUACUACUUACUGUACUAGUCUCCAAGUGUUCAUUUUUAUUGACUCGUGAGUUGGUUAUUGGCUAGAAUUUUAAACAUUACAUGUGACAUAUCACAUUUAUAUUUAGAAAUAAUUAUUACAAAGCAAAAUAACCAGCAUUGACACCAUGCGAACGUGGGACGGUCGACGUAACAGACUAUUUGUUGGUGUGUUUUUUGCAGGUUCCGCAAACAGUUUCCUCGUUUCUGCUAUGGGGAUUUGGUUAGGCAAUAUAAUUUGCAUUAUAAAGCCCAGAGCGAAAGCCCAGAGCGAAGGUAUCCUCGUAGAAAGCCGACUCGCAUGUCGCUUAGCGAUCUGGAAUCUGGAAAACAUCGAUCUCGCUCUGUUAAGCGCAAAGAAGUGUCUGCGAAAGCGGUGAUAACGCCACAGCCCCCUGUGAGAGAUGACCAGCCCGGAAGUGUACAGCCGACGUUUGGCGCCGUGAACGAAACCCAAGUGACUGGAGCGGCAAACGACGAAGUUGUUUGUUCUCCCCGUCAAGCCACGCCUGCAGCCGAAGCAGGUGACAGCAUUUAAUUGCGAAUCACUGGGGAGUAUGUUGUCCGAAAGUGUGGAAGAAAAUAAAGCAGUCGCCGUUUCCAUCGAAAUUAUCAGCGCUCUUUUUCCGAGCGCUAGCAAAGGUCGUAAAAGAGCCGGAGGAAAGGUGUACGGGUGUGCAAACUGCAGAAAGUAUUUGAAUGUCGGUAGAAAGGAUCACGCAGAGACCCAUUUGGAGUCGUGCUUUGAACGACGCGGUCGCAGGCGCGUAAAAAGUCCGCUUCGUUUGCUUCGAAUCAUUGGAAUUGGUCCAAACGUUAGAUCUGAUCGGAUUUCGGUUAAAGUAGAAGAUUGGGAAGCUAGUCUCCGCCGUGUAGAAUGGCCUGUUUUGAGCCUGAAAAUCAAAGACGCAUUGCAGAGUGCUUACGUUGAAUACAAAGACGGCACUAUUCGGUUGUCUUCACACCAGUACAAGGUUAAUGCACGCGCCCGGGGACAAACAGAGAAGUGGAUUCUGGGCCAUCUCGCACAGGAACCUGGGUAACACCAUCCGGGCGUUUUCCGUUCUCUGUACACAUUCCUGGAGGCUUCAGUUCACACCGAACACCCGCUGCGGAGAAUAAUUUUUCCACGAUUUUGCUCAUUUUACAGUGUUAUCUUCCUUUGUUGGACAGACAAGAAGGGCCAUGAUGUCCAUUAGACUAAAUAGUAUUGUUCCACGCGCGUAUGAGUCGUAUGACACGCAUCGCGGUUAAAAAACCGUGUUUCAGUAAUUGGACCUGGUUUAUUACCACUCAAAGAACUGUAUGUACUACGGUACAGCAUACAGUAGUCUACAGUACCUUUGAACUUUUCUGUUGUAGGUGGUUUGGCGGUUUUUGUAUCUUACAAUUAUGUACUGAGUGUGAUCUGACAAAUAAAAUCAGUCUAC